GUGCUCACUUUGGCAGCACAUAUACGAAAAUUGGAACAGUACAGAGAAGAUUAGCAUGGCCCCUGUGCUUAGUACGGAGCCUGGAACAUAUUAAGUGCUUAACAAAUAU